rnacentral:rRNA from 1 species
GGUUAAGCGACUAAGCGUACACGGUGGAUGCCCUGGCAGUCAGAGGCGAUGAAGGACGUGCUAAUCUGCGAUAAGCGUCGGUAAGGUGAUAUGAACCGUUAUAACCGGCGAUUUCCGAAUGGGGAAACCCAGUGUGAUUCGUCACACUAUCAUUAACUGAAUCCAUAGGUUAAUGAGGCGAACCGGGGGAACUGAAACAUCUAAGUACCCCGAGGAAAAGAAAUCAACCGAGAUUCCCCCAGUAGCGGCGAGCGAACGGGGAGCAGCCCAGAGCCUGAAUCAGUGUGUGUGUUAGUGGAAGCGUCUGGAAAGGCGCGCGAUACAGGGUGACAGCCCCGUACACAAAAAUGCACAUG